CAACUGAGGAAGCUCAACAUCUAAAAAAGUUGAUACAAGACUAUACUGCUUCUUUAAUCAAAGUAGGAGAUAAGGUUUGGUGCUUCUAAAUUUCUAAAGUUCAAGUACAAUUGUUUUCUAUAAUGUGUUUGUGUCCAUCUAGUAUUGAUACUUAGCUUUAAUUUUGUGAUAAUUUUUUUGUGUCCAUCGAGUGUUUGUUAAGCAUAAGUACCAAAACCAGUUGAUCCUAUUGAUGACAAAAUUGAUUUUCUUGCAAGAUCGAUAUGUGUCCAUCUAGUGUUGACACUUAGCUUUAAAUUUAGAAAUAAUAUAUUUGUUAAGCAUAAGUACCAACACUAAUUGAUCCUAUUGAUGACAAAAUUGAUUUUCUUGCAAGAUCGAUUUGUGUCCAUCUAGUGUUGACACUUAGCUUUAAAUUUAGAAAUAAUAUAUUUGUUAAGCAUAAGUACCAACACUAGUUGAUCCUAUUGAUGACAAAAUUGAUUUUCUUGCAAGAUCGAUUUGUGUCCAUCUAGUGUUGACACUUAGCUUUAAAUUUAGAAAUAAUAUAUUUGUUAAGCAUAAGUACCAACACUAGUUGAUCCUAUUGAUUUAGUUAAUUGGUGGAUUUAGUUGUUUGAAUUAAGUCAAUACUAAACUAGUUAAAGUUANNNNNNNNNNNNNNNNNUGGAUUUAGUGUUGUAUUAAGUGAAAGCUAAACUAGUUAAAGUUGUUAAGUUGUUUAAAUAAGUUCAAAUGUUAUUUAUCUAUUGGAAUUAAAAAUAUCAUUAUUGUUUGUGUAGAUGGAUCCUGAUCGCAGUUGGAUGUAUAAUAGAAACAAUCAUGGUCGAGCGGGUAUGAUUCCAGAAAGAGGGACAAUAUCUGCAACGGAGAGUAAGAUAGCUUCGAUGGCGGGGAUAGAGAGGUAAUAUCAUCAUCCUCAAGCUUCGAUGGCGGGGAUAGAGAGACAAUAUCCACAAUGGAGAGUAAGAUAGCUUAUCUCAAUUUCGAGCUUGCUGCUGUAGCCGAAAGAUAGAAAAGAGAGAAGAAAGAGAGAAGAAGAGAUAAGAAAGAGAGAGGCGGAGAUUGCGGCAACAAAGGAGGUAGAAAACAAGAGGUAUGCAACGCUUCGGGCCCAACUAACUUUUCUUUUUGAAUCAGAAAAUAUUCUUCCUCCAUGUCUGGCCAGCAGUGAUGGAUCUGAUCAAGAGGGUGAUGAGAAUGAUAAGUCUGAUAAGGAGAGUGAGGGUGAUGAAGAGUAGUUGUAUCUAUUUGACAUUUUAGACUUCUAUAUUUUUGGAAUU
rnacentral:lncRNA from 1 species